AUGCUGAGUGAAUAUUCCAUGAGGUCGAAGAUGAACUGCACAUGCUGCACCAGAGGAGCUUGGCUACCACCAUAGCACGAUGCCGACCAGAACGCUUGCAGCUGACAGCCCAUUCACAUAGCAAUGACACCACAGCAUCAUCAUCUGAGGAGAUCUGGAGAACAAAGGAAGAGAAGGAGGAGUAAGGUCCCAAUCCAAAGAUUCGGUU
rnacentral:lncRNA from 1 species